GAAAGCUGUGGUAAAACCAAACAAACACAUAUGACCAUAUAUAUACCCGGUUAGGUUAGAAAGAAACAACGAAGAGAGAACACGGUCUCCAGACUCCAGAGUGAGCGAGCGUGGCAGAGUGUGAGUCAAACAAAGGCUUUUGCAUUGCACCGCAGGCUGGCAGUGUGGUGCGCGCCACGCCCAGGCGUCAGAGGUGAGGGAUCAGGAAUGGCCCUGCCCUGAAGUCUGAAGAUGCUGCUGCAAGGCUCCUGCCUCCAUGGCCCAUGCUGAACCUGGCAACCUAUUCUCUUUUCUUUUCACACACACGAACAUACAGAAGAAAAGAGAGGGAAAAAUCUGUUAGGAAACAUACAGUGGAGUUGAGGCAUUCAUCCAUCUCAAGGCAAACCAAACGAACCAACUGCAGCUUGGAGCUAUCUGGAUAUCUUGCUUUUUGUUCGCAGCUAUAUGAUAACCAGUGGUUGCUUCAAACAUGCAAAUGUUGUCUUCACUGGUGAUUUAAAACAGUGAGAUGAGGUUGCAGCUCCGCGUGUUUUCUUCAGUACUGUUCCAAGCAGCAAAACUUACAGUGGAGGUAUACUGAAAAAUUAAAGUUAACGAUGA